rnacentral:rRNA from 1 species
UACGGGGGGGGCAAGCGUUGUUCGGAAUUACUGGGCGUAAAGGGCUCGUAGGCGGCCAACUAAGUCAGACGUGAAAUCCCUCGGCUUAACCGGGGAACUGCAUCUGAUACUGGAUGGCUUGAGUUCGGGAGAGGGAUGCGGAAUUCCAGGUGUAGCGGUGAAAUGCGUAGAUAUCUGGAGGAACACCGGUGGCGAAGGCGGCAUUCUGGACCGAUAUUGACGCUGAGGAGCGAAAGCCAGGGGAGCAAACGGG